UCCCUGGUGGCUCAGAGGUUAAAGCAUCUGCCUGCAAUGCAGGAGACCUGGGUUCGAUCCAUGGGUCGGGAA
rnacentral:tRNA from 1 species